UUGUUUCUUGCCUAGCUUCGUCAUCUGCUUGGUUUUCAGUGGAUUUUAGUUGUUCAAGUUCAUGGGCUCGGAUGUUUGCAGUUUCGGUCUCCUGAAUUGAUGCAUGUUUGGAUUCGCUUGCUGCUUCUAGUUUGUUGGUUUGUCGACUUUGGGGGAUGCUUCAACAAAUAAGGUGACAGCGGCCCUAACGGAUUCAAAGGGUGCAGCGGUGUCAAUCUCUCCAACCGCUGCUGCUGCUGAUGAUGUGCUUGGCAAAGAUGGAUCGGUGGACGUCGGUGCUGGAGAAGCAGCCGCAUUUUGGCGGUUUCUUGCUUGAAAACCAAACAUUAUUUUUUUUCUAUGUAUAAUAUAUCCACCUUCAUCAUCCACAUUACAUAUUCAUCGUCAAAUCGUGUAACAGAAAAAAGAGAAGAGAA